rnacentral:rRNA from 1 species
UACGUAGGGUGCAAGCGUUAAUCGGAAUUACUGGGCGUAAAGCGUGCGCAGGCGGUUCUGUAAGUCUGUCGUGAAAUCCCCGGGCUCAACCUGGGAACCGCGCUUGAGACUGGCACGCUCGAGUUCGGGAGAGGAUGGUGGAAUUCCCAGUGUAGAGGUGAAAUUCGUAGAUAUUGGGAAGAACACCGAUGGCGAAGGACAGCCAUCUGGACCGACACUGACGCUGAGGCGCCGAAAGCGUGGGGGAGCAAACAGG